CUCUUUUCUGCUGUCGUGCCCCGGGGCAUAAGGAGUCUCCGCCCCCAGGCUUCUGCGGCCACGCCCAAGCCGGGACACCCUGGGAGUACUCUAGCGCCACCAGCUGUGGGAUCCGGGGAGGUUCCUGACAUCCUCUGGGAGUCAUCUUUGUAUAGGGAAUGAGACGCAGCCCAGAAAUUGUGAGCUGACUUGGCAGGAGCUGUCCUCACCUACCCUGUUGCUACCUAGCCCUCUGAAGGCACGAGUGUCAGACGCAGGCAAGGUCACCUGGCCCCACAGAACUCAUCACAGGCACAGACUCAUGUGGCCUGUCUACCACCACGGGCAGCACCCGGCCAGAAUCUGAGCCCGGACAUUUAGCAGCACCCUGAUCCUGCCACAGACGCACAUUUCCUUCCCCAUUCCCCAGCAAAGGGGCCAUGGAGGAAGCAACAAGUUUCUCCAGAUAUAAUUAAAGCAAGGAUUUCGAGAUAAGGUCAUUCUGGAUUACGAUGGGCCCUAAAUCCAAUGAUGAGUGUCUUUGUAAGAGAAA